rnacentral:rRNA from 1 species
AUGGACUAUAUUUUGCAGAGUAUCAUACUGUGGAGCUGCCGCCACGUGACAGAAGCGGGGCUGGUGGCGCUGGUGAACAAGUGCCCGGAACUGGAGUGCAUCAACGUCGGCGGGAUGCGGGUGUCGCCAGAGAGCUUCGCGGGCCUGCAGUCCAUUAGCCCCGCCCUGCGGAUCAGGUCCAUCCCACAGAUCCUCAACGCCGACGUGCAGGUCGCCUGA